GCCAUUACUGUGGAUAGGUCAGUCGGUAAAACCCAAGACUCUUAAUCUCAGGGUCAUGGGUUUGAGCCCCACAUUGGGCA